UACGUAGGUGGCAAGCGUUGUCCGGAUUUACUGGGCGUAAAGAGCGCGCAGGCGGUCGUUCAAGUCGCGUGUGAAAGCCCCCGGCUCAACUGGGGAACUGCACGGGAAACUGCCUGGCUUGAGUUCGGGAGAGGGAAGCGGAAUUCCGGGUGUAGCGGUGAAAUGCGUAGAUAUCCGGAGGAACACCGGUGGCGAAGGCGGCUUCCUGGACCGACACUGACGCUGAGGCGCGAAAGCUAGGGGAGCAAACGGG
rnacentral:rRNA from 1 species